GGAGGCUGUUCCCGCUCGGCUCAUUUCGACUCCCGGCUACAGUGUGCGCAAUGCGUUCAACCUCUUCUACGACUGUCCUGGCAAAGCGGUGGUCGACCCGUCCAUUUACAUCGACUGCGCAAACUGUAUCCUGGUGAGGACACCCGACAACAAUGGAACUGGAUGCCGCUUCUACACCAUUGACCCAUACCACGUAGAUCCAUGCUGCGAGUACGUCUACGACUUGACCUGUGGUCCUGAGAAGUACGUUUACUAUGAUCCUAAUGAAUGUGGCCUCUGAGAAACAAGAGAAUUGGAGUGCUGUUGCGGUGGUACCGAUACUAAUAAUAUUAUGGGGGAUGACAUGAUGCUCGCUCCCAUUCACGGCCAGAGCAACCUGUGUAAGAUACUGGUGCAUUAAAGACACUAUUUUUCUUAGA